CAGAGGGGAAGAAUGGAGUGGAGUCACAAGUUUGACAAAAGCAGGGAGAAGCUGGGAGCUGCAGCCUGUGGAAGAUGCAAACCAGUCACAAACUGGAAAACAGUGUUUCCCCAGCCACCCUCUUUGGUGACCACUGGAGGCACAGCUAGCAAAUGGACACUGUGGUCAGGAUGCCAAGGAUUACC
rnacentral:lncRNA from 12 species